UACGGAGGGUGCAAGCGUUAUCCGGAUUUACUGGGUUUAAAGGGUGCGUAGGUGGUCGGGUAAGUCUGAUGUGAAAUCUCCGAGCUCAACUCCGAAACUGCAUUCGAUACUGCGGUGCUUGAGGACUGGAGAGGAGACUGGAAUUCAUGGUGUAGCAGUGAAAUGCGUAGAGAUCAUGAGGAAGACCAGUGGCGAAGGCGGGUCUCUGGACAGUUCCUGACACUGAGGCACGAAGGCCAGGGGAGCAAACGGG
rnacentral:rRNA from 1 species